GGCUUGUGUGGGUAUGUUGGAUCCCUGCCAGGGCAGCGACAACGUCCUCUUCAAGCCUGUUCAUUGGGCGAUCGAAUCUUCGCAUUCGGUCGCCUCGCUUUUCGGUUCCCUGUGUUGCAUACCCGUCGUGACGGUAUCCGGUUGCCUACGAUUGUCGCGUUUCACCCCACGUUGCGAGUAAUGUUGCGACCGAGGGUGAACCACAAAGCAUUCAUCGUGUUCCACCCCGCUCGCAUUACGUGUUGCGGGACUCGGCCCAUGAUGACAUGCUCGAAUUCUCGGAUGCGGAACACAAAGUGGGUAGGAGGAUGUCGAUUCUCCGUUCACCCCCGAACACGCGUUCUACGCUACGUGCGAACGACGUUCUUCCUCGUGCUGGGCUUCCGUCCACACGAGGUCGACGUCGCGGAGGAAUGCUACCUGGUUGAUCCUGCCAGUAGUCAUAU
rnacentral:misc_RNA from 1 species